rnacentral:misc_RNA from 1 species
GAUGAAGAACGCAGCGAAAUGCGAUAAGUAAUGUGAAUUGCAGAAUUCAGUGAAUCAUCGAAUCUUUGAACGCACAUUGCGCCCCUUGGUAUUCCGAGGGGCAUGCCUGUUCGAGCGUCAUUACACCACUCAAGCUAUGCUUGGUAUUGGGUGUCGUCCUUAGUUGGGCGCGCCUUAAAGACCUCGGCGAGGCCUCCCCGGCUUUAGGCGUAGUAGAAUUUAUUCGAACGUCUGUCAAAGGAGAGGAACUCUGCCGACUGAAACCUUCAUUUUUACAGGUUGACCUCGGAUCAGGUAGGGAUACCCGCUGAACUUAAGCAUAUCAAUAAGCGGAGGA